rnacentral:misc_RNA from 1 species
AAGUCGUAACAAGGUUUCCGUAGGUGAACCUGCGGAAGGAUCAUUAAAAGAGAACUUUUGUUUUCUCUCGCAAGAGAGAUAAAUAAAAUUCCCAACCCUUGUCUAUACAAAAAAAACAAAUUGUUGCUUCGGCGAAUUUCCAAGAAGAAAAAAGUGCUAGGGAAAAUUUCUUUGCUGAGAUCUUCUUCUAUUACUUUUCUUUUUUUGUCGCCAGAAGAAAUAAUCUAAACUCUUGUUUUACAAACAUAUUGUCUGAAUCUAUUUGAAUAUUGACUAAACAUCAAUAAACAUAAUCAAAUUACAACUUUCAACAACGGAUCUCUUGGUUCUG